GUGCUCUCUUCGGGUGGUACAUAUACUAAAAUUGGAAUGAUCCAGAAAAUAUUAGCAUGGUCCCUAUGUAAAGAUGACACCUAAAAUCGUGAAGCAUUCCACAUUUUU